CACAGAUAGAUAUAUACUAUCCACCUUCAAAUCAAAGCCACAAGGAUUUGCCAACUCCACUAACACUUGCGCUGCUUCACCUACAACCCAUAUAAGCUCCUGCUUACUGCUUUGAUUCGCCUCCCCUUUGCUGAAAGGUGUAUAAAUAAAAGGUCCUGAAGGAGCAGCCCCUGCCCACGCUGCUUCACCUACAACCCAUGUAAGCUCCUGCUUACUGCUUUGAUUCGCCUCGCCUUUGCUGAAAGGUGUAUAAAUAAAAGGUCCUGAAGGAGCAGCCCCUGCCCACCAAUCAUCUCUCCCAUGAUUACGUUUUACUAUGUCCUGUUGGGAGGAAUGAAGUGGAAAAGAAUGCAACCUGGUAGAAUUUAUAAAGAGGAAAGGAUAAUUAGGCUUCUCAAUCAAAAUUGAACUGAAAAUAAGGUCAUAGAUUGCAGACACCAUAAAGUUCAAAGAGCAUUUAUAAAGGGGAAAGGAUAGUUAGGCUUCUCAAUCAAAAUUGAUCUGAAAAUAAGGUCAUAGAUUGCAGACACCAUAAAGUUCAAAACAGUACCAGUACGCGGAAAAAUCAUUCGAAACUGCAAAAUAAUAAUUGUAAAAUAAUAUCAGAUAAUAUUUACUGCUUUCCGAGGAGACUAAUGAAAAAGUUACAAACAAUUAUUCGCAAGUUGUUCCACCAUUAGUAAUACUGUAACAGUAGAGUGAGAUAAAGAUAUACAUUAAAGGAAUAACUUCAUGAUCAAAAAGGUUAUACUUAUGGCACAUUACAAUUUUUCUUAUUUUUUAUGAGCUCAUCGGUAAAUUACACUCCUAGUCAUAUGCUGAAGAAAUGAU
rnacentral:lncRNA from 1 species